ACGGGGUGCAGCAGGCGCGAAACCUUUGCAAUGUGCGCAAGCACGACAAGGUUAAUCCGAGUGUUUCCUGCUAAAGGAAUCUUUUGUUAGUUCUAAAACCACUGAUGAAUAAGGGGUGGGCAAGUUCUGGUGUCAGCCGCCGCGGUAAAACCAGCACCUCAAGUGGUCAGGAGGAUUAUUGGGCCUAAAGCAUCCGUAGCCGGUUCUGUAAGUUUCCGGUUAAAUCCACUAGCUCAACUAAUGGGCUGCCGGAAAUACUGCAGAACUAGGGAGUGGGAGAGGUAGACGGUACUCGGGAGGAAGGGGUAAAAUCCUUUGAUCUCUUGAUGACCACCUGUGGCGAAGGCGGUCUACCAGAACACGUUCGACGGUGAGGGAUGAAAGCUGGGGGAGCAAACCGGAUUAGAUACCCGGGUAGUCCCAGCUGUAAACUAUGCAAACUCAGUGAUGCAUUGGCUUGUGGCCAAUGCAGUGCUGCAGGGAAGCCGUUAAGUUUGCCGCCUGGGAAGUACGUACGCAAGUAUGAAACUUAAAGGAAUUGGCGAGGGAGCACCACAAGGGGUGAAGCCUGCGGUUCAAUUGGAGUCAACGCCAGAAAUCUUACCCGGAGAGACAGCAGAAUGAAGGUCAAGCUGAAGACUUUACCAGACAAGCUGAGAGGUGGUGCAUGGCCGUCGCCAGCUCGUGCCGUGAGAUGUCCUGUUAAGUCA
rnacentral:rRNA from 1 species